GGACCCGCACAAGCGGUGGAGCAUGUGGUUUAAUUCGAUGCAACGCGAAGAACCUUACCAGGGUUUGACAUCCUGCGAAUCUCUUGGAAACGAGAGAGUGCCUUCGGGAGCGCAGUGACAGGUGGUGCAUGGCUGUCGUCAGCUCGUGUCGUGAGAUGUUGGUUAAGUCCCGCAACGAGCGCAACCCACGUCUUUAGUUGCCAGCAUUUAGUUGGGCACUCUAGAGAGACCGCCGGUGAUAAACCGGAGGAAGGUGUGGAUGACGUCAAGUCAUCAUGCCCCUUACAUCCUGGGCUACACACGUGCUACAAUGGUCGGUACAGAAAGCAGCCACUAUGCGAAUAGGAG
rnacentral:rRNA from 1 species